UUAUAUAUUUGCUGCACACCUUGUCACAUAGCAGCUUUUAGACAUUGUUCUAUUUUUUGUUAUAAGUCAGAAAUGACAAGGAGGCAGCAUCACGCUAUACAAUGUCAAUGGAGACGGUUGGAUUGUUUUCCCCCCGGUGGCCGUGGUUUUCAGAUUAUGAUCUUGUCACUCUGUCUCUAUAUUAGGGGUGACCAGAGCCGUUGAAAAACAGAGUUGCGACACUCCUAUAGACUGCCAUAGGAACUUUGGAAUGCGGAAGUAACGCGUGUCGUGGAGCAGCCGAUAGUUCCAAACACUGAUAGUUCCAGCACUGAACUCCACACAUUUUCAAUGUUUCUGAAGUACGCUCGCUGGAGGUGAAAAAGAAGUCUAAACCAAGACUUAUACCUAGAUAAAAAUAACUCUCAGAUGGAUUAUCGGUGGGGAGUGGAGCAGUGGCCAGGCUGGGGGAGCUUGUCGUUCCUGUAAGCAAUGGAGUGAUGAUGAAGCUGGUUUGAAUUUGAACAGUGGAGU